ACAGAUGUGUCUGUAUCAGGAUGGGUCUAAACAACAUGGUGUAAAUGCAGUUGCUGGUGAGCCUCAUUUCCUGUAGGAGGUGAACAAGAGCAGAGAUCUGUUUCCCUUCAGAGCACAGAGGUUGUUUCUGUUCAGAGGAAGUGAAACUGUCUGACAGUCACUGAGAGACGGUGAAACGACACAGCACAUGAAUCAAAUGGACCAAACAAAAUUCUGCUGUUCAGUCUGUUUGGAUCUACUGAAGGAUCCGGUGACUAUUCCCUGUGGACACAGCUACUGCAUGAACUGUAUUAAAAGCUUCUGGGAUGAAGAGGAAAAGAAGAAAAUCUACAGCUGCCCUCAGUGCAGACAGACUUUCACACCGAGGCCUGUCCUGGAGAAAAACACCAUGUUAGCAGAUUUAGUGGAGGAGCUGAAGAAGACUGGACUCCAAGCUGCUCCUGCUGAUCACUGCUAUGCUGGACCUGAAGAUGUGGCCUGUGAUGUCUGCACUGGGAGAAAAAUGAAAGCCUUCAAGUCCUGUUUAGUCUGUCUGGCAUCUUACUGUGAGAAACACAUUCAGCCUCAUUAUGAUUCACCUACAUUCAAGAAACACAAGCUGGUGGAGCCCUCCAAGAAGCUCCAGGAGAACAUCUGCUCUCGUCAUGAUGAGGUGAUGAAGAUGUUCUGCUGUACUGAUCAGCAGAAUAUCUGUUAUCUCUGCUCUGUGGAUGAACAUAAAGGCCACGACACAGUCUCAGCUGCAGCAGAAAGGACUGAGAGGCAGAGAGAGCUGGAGGUGAGUCGACAAAACAUCCAGCAGAGAAUCCAGGACAGAGAGAAAGAUGUGAAGCUGCUUCAACAGGAGGUGGAGGCCAUCAAUCAGUCUGCUGAUCAAACAGUGGGGCACAGUGAGAAGAUCUUCACUGAGCUGAUCCAUCUCAUCCAGAAAAGAAGCUCUGAUGUGAAGCAGCAGAUCAGAUCCCAGCAGGAAACUGAAGUGAGUCGAGUCACAGAGCUUGAGGAGAAGCUGGAGCAGGAGAUCACUGAGCUGAAGAGGAAAGAUGCUGAGCUGAAGCAGCUCUCACACACAGAGGAUCACAUCCAGUUUCUACACAACUACCCCUCACUGUCAGCACUCAGUGAGUCUACAGACUCAUCCAGCAUCAAUAUCCGUCCUCUGAGCUACUUUGAGGAUGUGACAGCAGCUGUGUCAGAGGUCAGAGAUAAACUACAGGACAUUCUGAGAGAGGAACGGACAAACAUCUCACUGACAGUCACUGAAGUGGAUGUUUUACUGUCAGAUCCACCAGCAGAGCCAAAGACCAGAGCUGGAUUCUUAAAAUAUUCACGUGAAAUCACACUGGAUCCAAACACAACAUACACACAGCUGUUAUUAUCAGAGGGGAACAGAAAAGUAACAGCGAUGGAAAACCAACAGUCUUAUUCUGAUCAUCCAGACAGAUUCACCGACUGGUGGCAGGUCCUGUGUAAAGGGAGUCUGACUGGUCGUUGUUACUGGGAGGUGGAGUGGAGAGGGAUACAGGUUUAUGUAGCAGUCGCAUACAAGAAUAUCAGCAGAAAAGGGAGAGUGAAUGAAUGUUUGUUUGGACAUAAUGACAAAGCUUGGGCAUUAAAUUGUAACAACAACAGUUAUACAUUUUGGUACAACAACAUCCAAACUCCUGUCUCAGGUCCUCGUUCCUCCAGAGUAGGAGUGUACCUGGAUCACAGAGCAGGUAUUUUGUCCUUCUACAGCGUCUCUGAAACCAUGACUCUCCUCCACAGAGUCCAGACCACAUUCACUCAGCCGCUCUAUGCUGGAGUGACGCUUUUCUGUGCUGGAGACACUGCUGAGGUGAUCAAACUGAAAUAGACUGAAGUCUUUCAUAUUGUGGGUUUAAAUCUGUAUUUUAGCUUCAUUUUAUUUUCUCUCCAUCAUUUCUGCACAGAGAUCAGCUGUCAGUCAAACAUUAUGGGUGGUACCUCCACAUCUUCUAGUUGUUCUCUUGAUGUUUCUGAGUUUUUAAAGGAGAUCUUUCCUGUGACUGUUUAUGGAGGCUAUCACUGCUCAUCAUCAUUUUGAUUUACUAAAAUAUUUCUCCACAUGAAAAUGUAAACUUCUCUAUCCUCUAAAUGUUUCUGGAAUAUUUGUAUUGAAAAAUGUUGACAUUUCUCUUUCAUUGAUAAUACUUUAUUCA